AUCUACUGCCAUACCACCCUGAAUGUGGCCGAUCUUGUCUGAUCUCGGAAGCUAAGCAGGGUCGGACCUCCUUAGUCCUUGGGAGACAACUGGGAAUC
rnacentral:rRNA from 1 species